UUUCAUGACUUUUAACCCCAACUGAAAGUAAACUAUCAUCCAGGUUUCACUUCUCAAGACAUCUUCCAUGAUUGUCACUUUGAGCUACAGGAUUCCAUGUCAUGUUAUGUCGUGUCACUGUUACGAUGAGUAAGAACAGCUACUUAAUAUUUGGAAAGAAAGCAAAGAGAUGUAAUAAGGUGGCAAACACCAUUCUACACCUGCAGCCAUUCAAUAAAUAACAAUAACUGUCAGGCACGGACAUGAAGGUGACCCUCUUUCUUUGAGGUACAAUCACAGAAAAUACUCGCCACUGUGUUUUCUCUGAAUCAGUAGAUGCUGAAGUUUCUAAUACCCAAUGACUGUCCUUGAAGAUAUCUAGAAGAGUGGUAUUACAGUACCCGUUGGUGGUAUUACAGUAACAGUUGGGAUGUGGUCUGCCAAACCAUCCCUGAUGCUUCUGUUGACUUUUGCCAUAGGGGUUUUUCAUCUUGCUGUUUGGAACCAUUAUGGACCACAAGAUAAGAGAUGCUUUGAGGAUGAGGAUGUCUUCACUGAAGGGGAGAUCAAGGGCAGCAGAGAAUGCAUCUUUAAGCCCAACCAAUGGAUCUAAAUUAAUGAAUCGUUGAAGAUGAGAUGAUGUUGCAUUCCUCAUGGACGUUCCGUGUCCUGGACUGAGAGUGAAGCCCUGGGAGAGGGAGGCUGGAAUGAGGGAGAGCCGAGCUUCCUUGGAAGACUUUCUCUUCUGGCCAGGAGUGACAUCUAAGCUGUCGGGGUGAAAAUGCUUGCUGAGGGAAAAGUGAGAAUGACGUUUGGUGACUGCACUUGAAGGAGCUAGAACCACUGACUCUUUGACCCAUGACUUGCAGGAGACUGGUUCUUGGUCAGCCUUGGCAAGAUCAAGACAGCAAGCCAUUUUCUGAGCUCCUGGACAAGCCUGGAGCUGUUGGGGCUCUACUGGACGAGGUCUGCUUUCAUGCCCAAGACCGGCUCUGUGGCUCCAUCAACCCAUUGCCACAGCCAUUGUCACUGUGCAUGGAUCCUGCCUGCUCUGGGGGACAGGAGUUAGAUCCGGGGUCAGGGGUAGGGGUGGGCAUGGGGGUAGAGGGUGGGUGGCAGCAGAAAUACUGAAUCUACUUUGGAGACAGUUAAGUCAUGGUAGGUUUCCUAAAAAUAGGGAACAGAAGAAAAAUAAGAGGACUUUUCAAUGUGUUUCUGAUUUUAGUCUAUUUUAGAUGUUGAGUAAAAUACUUUAGCUCCUAGGACUUUAGAUUCUUCGUUUGUGAAACUUAAAAAUAUUCCUGUAGGUAUUAUUAUUAUUAUGUGUGUGUGUGUGAGUGUUUA